rnacentral:rRNA from 1 species
AGCGAACGCUAGCGGCGGGCCUAACACAUGCAAGUCGAGCGGAGGGGCAACCCUCAGCGGCGAACGGGUGAGUAACACGUAGGUAAUGUACCCUCUGGUGGGGAAUAACCGUGGGAAACCAUGGCUAAUACCGCAUAUGUCUUUCGAGAUGAAAGCAGCAAUGCGCCAGAGGAGCAGCCUGCGGCCGAUUAUUUAGUCCUAGUUGGUGAGGUAAUGGCUCACCAAGGGUACGAUCGGUAGCUGGUCUGAGAGGAUGAUCAGCCACACUGGAACUGAGACACGGUCCAGACUCCUACGGGAGGCAGCAGUGGGGAAUAUUGCGCAAUGGGCGAAAGCCUGACGCAGCCACGCCGCGUGAGUGAUGAAGGCCUCGGUUGUAACU